rnacentral:lncRNA from 1 species
GGCCUGAGAUUACAAAGUAUGCUGGUUUGGUUUGUGCUCAAGCCCAUCGACAAGAGCUUAUCCAAGAUCUGUUCAAAGAAUGGCAGGAUCCUGUAAGAGGGAAAGCCACUGGUGGAAUGAUCAAGUGCCUCUAUUGGUCGCAAGUGCUCUAGGGCCUGUGCAUAUGCUGCUUCCUACGGUCUCGAGGGAUUUUAUAGUUUAGUUUGUUUUACUUGCUUUGCCUAUGCUUUUUGCAAUAGUGAUUUUGUUUUUACUUUGGUUGAUACCAUAUAUGACGAUUUGUUUGCCGAAAUAACUUAUAUUAAAAAAUGUUUUCCAUGAAAAAUAUUUUUCAAUAAAAUAACUUAUUUUUCAUUAUUUAAAUUUAAUUUAAAAAAUAAAAUAUAUUAACAAAAUUUUAUAAAGAGGUGUUAAUUAGAUUCUCAAAAUGUAGAAAUGGACUUCCUAUUUUAAAAGGAGGAAGUCAUUUUCCUUAAAAUGACUUGAUCUUUUCUUUGAUGAAAGAAAAUAUUUUCAAUUGAUUAAUUUUUCUGAAAUCCCCAAACACAAAAAAUUAUGAAAAAUGUUUUUCUGAAAAAUAUUUUCCAGGAAACAAAUGGAGUCUAAAUUAAAUAAAUAUGAUAAGCUGAUCCAUGAUGAAGUAUCUAUAUUGAUCUGCUUUUUAUAUAAAUUUUCUCCCACCAUCAUAACAUUCAGAGUUAAUUAACCAUUAGAAAUUAAACUUAACCCAAUAAAUCGACAAUUCUCUGAAUACGCAUACCACAGAUCUAAACUCGAAAUAAGCAUAGACCCAAACUCCAAUUAAGCAACUUUAACGGAGAACAGAUUUAAAACCACAAGUACCUACAUCAAAAUUAUACAAACCAACGAACGAAAAAAGCAACUGAAAUUAAGACCACUCCUGCAGUCAAUAAAAUCAUGUCGUCCCCUUGACUCUUUCGAAAAGUGAACUUUUAUUAAUUUAGUAAAUAUCUUCAAUAUUUCAAGGAAAUGGAACGGAAAAAAUCACAAUUUAAAUAAAAUAAAUUAAGUUAAAAAAAUAUGAAACUACAUAAAAAAAAUCAUUGAUGUAUAGAAAAUUCUCUGUAAAUUGAGUUGCAAUAAAAAAAAUACUAUAAAAAUGUAAUUUUUUAUUUAACCAAGUGAUAUGGUAAAAUUUUACAUAUAUAUUUAUAUAUUUUUAGAACUAUAUCCACGUAUUUUGAUGGAUUUUCUUUAAUUUUAUUAGAUUUUUAUGUUUAAUUUUAAAAUUUUUAAUUUUAGUCAAUUAAUUAAUGUUUUUACAAUAUACUUCGUGUUUUGCUCUCUUUCAUGCAUUUUGUUCUAUGUUAUUGGCAGAAUGACUAAUCCUCUAAUCCUCUAGAUUUUCUCCUAUGGCAACUUAUUAGGAGUCAAGUGUUAUAAAUAUAUUAGGAUUAAAAGGACUUUUUUGCUUAUUUUUUAAUAUCAAUACACUGCAAAAAUCAUAAAAAAUUCAAGAAAAAAAGAUUUAGAAUAUCUAGAAAAAUAAAUACACGCAUCUAAAGUUUUUUCUUUCUUUUUAUAUUCUUUUGAAUUAUUGUUCAUAAUUAUUUUAAGAUGAUUUCAAAUAAUUUCUCAACAUAAUUUAUUCGUGAAUUCUUUCACUUGAGCAACUAAAUUCCUUUACUACGGAUUUGAUGUAACUUAAAUUAUUAUUUCUCUUUAAUUUAUUCAAAUUGAAUUUCUUUAUCCAUUUAUUAUUAAUUUCUUAAAAUUAAUACUUUUGAGUAACUACGGGAUAUUUAGAAUGAUUUUAUUCUAGAAUUAAUACUAGCAGAUAACAUUUUAGAACUAAAUUGUAAAUUGAAUAUCAUAUUGGAUUGGAAAUGAAGAUUUGACUUAAAGUGUCUUAUACAAAAUAAUCAUAGGGUUUGAGAAAUUAAUUAAAGUAUUAUCAUAUUAUUAAAAGAUAGAUAAUAAUCUUUAGUUAAUCAAUUUGGUUUUGCUUGAGAGAUGAUUAAUUACCUUAGAAUUAUUUACUCUAGAUAUAGUAAUUAAAAUUAUAUUAUUAGUCAAAUGUACCAGUGAAAUGAAGAUACCAUAAUAUUUAAUAUUAAUUAUUUCACAAAUUCUACUUGUUUAAUUUUAAUUCUUUAUUUUAUUUUAAUUUUAGGAUCAUUAUUAUUAGUCUAAAUAAUAAUCAAAUUUACAAAUAUUUUAAUACUUAAAUUUUUUAUUUUAGUGGAUACAAUAUUCUACCCACUCUUUAUUACUUAAAUGAUUUCAUAUUUUUGUGGAUAUAGUACAUUAUCACAAAUAAUGAUGUUUUUAUAAUUUUUUUAGUCUCUUCCCCUCCAAAAGAUAUUUUGCUCCAAUUGGUGACAGUUUUACGAUAGAAAAUUGAUAAUUUAAGACUGUAUUUCACACAAAAUACUUUUUAGAAAAAUAUUUCAAAUAUUUUCUGUGUUUGUAGUAUUUAAAAAAUUUAGUUAAUAGAAAAUAUUUUUUAAAAAAUAAAUCAUUUUCCACACCUUGACAUCCUUAUUAAAAUUUUCAUAUAUAAAUUUGUGAAUAAAUUUUAUUUUUCAAAUUAAAAUUAAGUGAUGAAAAAUAAGUUAUAUUGUUAGAAAAUAUUUUUCACGGAAAACAUUUUGUAUAAAAAAUAUUUUUUAUGAAAAAUAUUUUACAAAUGUAAGUUAUUUUCCAUAAAUAAAUGGAGUCUAAGACUAACUUUAAUCUAACUAUAUACUAACUAAAAAACUUAGAAUAAAUAAAAAUAAUAAAAAAAGUAAUAAGGUAGGAAUUUUAUCCUUUUAUCGUGGCCAAAAAAAUAAAUUUCUCUUAAGAUUUCGUUUAUUUUCAGAAAAUAACUUAUACUUUGUAAAAUAUUUUUCAUAUAAAAUGUGUUUUACGUGAAAGAUAUUGUUUAUGAAAAAAUUUUUCAAAUAUUUUUUUAUGAAAAAAAAUUAUCAAUAAAAUAAUUUAUUUUUUAUUGUUUAAUUUUAGUUUAAAAAAUAAAAUGUAUUAACACAUUUAUAUACAUAUGCUAUAUAAUAAUCGUUUAAAAUAAAUUAUAAACUGUCACACAAGACAGAUUCACAUAGUAAGAGUGGGUAACGUAGUUCUACCAAAGAAAAAUGAGAACCGAAUACCUUAAUACUUAAUUUAUUAUCAAGACUCGUACUCUUCUAAAUAAAAUAAGUCUCGAUACAAAAUUACUGUUAUCAAGACAGUCUAGCGUAUUUUUAUUACGCUUGUGAUCGCGGGAUACCAAUGUAUUAAUUGGCGGUACCUUUAAUCAAGUAGUUGGCCAAUCAUUAUCGAAUUAUCAUAAAAUAUUAUAUUUAUCUUUACUUUAAAAAAUUGACACUUACCACCACCCCACACUCUCUUUCAUACAUGUCUAACCAAUCAUAAUAUCAGGUUUAUUUUUUGGUUACAUUAAUACAUAAGUUCUAAUAAAAUUUUCAAAAUGUAAAAAAUAAUUUUUUUAAAUAAAAGAAAAAUAUUUUUUAAAAUAACUUAAUUUUUAUUUUUUUUCAAUGCCCUAAAUAUUUAAAUAUAUAAAAAAAAUAUUUUUUAUAAAAUAUUUUCAGUAAAAUAAAUGAAACCUAAAUAUUAUUUAAUUUUAAGUUUACUUUAUCUUUUAUAUUUUAAAUUUUAAUAAUAAUUUAAAAAAUAAAAAAUAUGGAUAAUUCUCAUCUAAUAACUGUGAGGAAUAAUUAUAUCUAAAAAAUUAUUUGUUUAAUAUUUUUAGUUAAAAAAAAUUGUGACUUAAAGGGCACAUUAGCCAAUAACUUUCAAUACUUAAAAAAUUAAGAUUAAUUCAGCUAAAAAAAAAUUUUAUUAAAUCCAUUUAGAAACAUAAAAAUGUUAGAUUUAGUUCAAUUAAGUAAUUAAAAUUUUCGACCCAAAAGAAAAAAAAAAUUUAUAACAAAAUUAAGUACUUAAUUUUUAAAAUUAGAUAUCUAAAAUUAAAAUUAAAAAAUUCUUGUCAUUCUAUGGCAUUAUUAAUGUUUUAUUAAGAUUCACACCAUUUUAUUUUAUUUUUCUCAUAUUACUUGCUUUUAUAGAUUAUGUAAUUUAAAAAAUAAAAUCCCUUCACUUUAACCAAUAUCUUUUGUUAUUUUUCCUUCAAAUCACUUAAAGAAAUUCAUGAGUUUUGUUUUGUUUUUAAAAUUUUAUUAUUUUUCCUUCAAAUCCCUUAAUUUGCUUUUAUAAAUUAUGUAAGUCAAAAAAUAAAAAAUAAGUGUCUAUAAUCAGAUAUCUCUAAUCAAGUAGCCAGUCACAUAAUUAUUAGAUUAUCAAAAAAUAUAGUAUUUAUCUUUACUUUUUUAUAGUAUAAAAAGAGAAGAAUCACAAACGUAAAAUUAUAUUUUUUUAAAAUAAAAUAAAAAGUAAGAAAAUAAAACUAUUUUAUUUUAUUUUUUUCGGUGUUUGCCUUUAUAAAUUAUGCAAUUCAAAAAUAAAAAAUAAGUAUCUAUAAUAAAAUAUCUUUAAUCAAGUAAUCUGUAACGACUCGAAAAUCCGGACCGCUACUGGCGCUAGGAUCCAGAUCGGUUUAAGGUCGCAGGGACCCAUAGCAAGCCUAACCUGUCACCUGUAUACCUGUUAAAUCCCAUACAUGAUCAUACAUACUCAAAAACUUGUAAACUUUUUCUCUUUCCAUUAACCAAGCUCAACCUGUACAUACUCAUCACAUAAACAUAAACCACACACUGGAGCCCUAAUCAAAUGCUCCAAUGGGGUAUCAUAACAUGCAUACAUUAAGCUUGGUCUAUCAUAAACAUCAUAAGACACAAUAUAGAUCAUGUAUCAAAAGGGAUAACAUUCACAUAGGGUCAAGCACAAUUUCUAAUCCUCGAUACAUCAUUACAUAACCCAACUUUAAAACUUUACAUUUACAAUCCAUCAUGUCCACAUUCUAACUAUUACAAACACUCAUGACUUUACUCUUCUCGACUCCCUGGUCUAGCCCGUACCUGCAAACCUAGGGGAUAAGGGAAAUGGGAUGAGCUACUAGAGCCCAGUGAGCAUAAUAGUAAAAACAUUUAAAACAUAUGCAAUCAUGUAAUGCAUCACAUCACAGACAAAUCACAUCAAGGGUGAACCUGUCACCAAAUAGUCCCAGCAUCAUAUCCGUGCCAGGCCGUAGAAUGGGGUCCUAGUCUUCCUGUCAUAUCAUACAUUACUUACCAUUGCCCCAGGGCCUCAUCUGGGCACCUGGUCUUCGCGUUCCAUACCGUGCCAGGCCGUAGAAUGGGUCCUGGUCUUUACUCAGGGACUAAUUGGAUCAUUCAGCAUUCACCCACAUCCACAACAAAGGAUGCAAUGCAACAUAUUCGUGGAUACUAAUGCAACAACCUAUUAUAUCACAUGACAUUCGUGAUGCAUGAUUCAUGCUAAAACUUGCAUUAAUUUAAAACAUAAGGUUUAUUCUACUCACCUCUGGCUGAAGCUCUAAAGACUCUGAAGCAGCUAUCUCACUGCUGGGGUCCUCGGUUCCUCGGGUCCGAACCUACACAGGUGGACUCAAAUGAGGGACCAAACAUACAUGAACAUGACCCUAAAGCACUCCCCAAAAACCCCCUAAAGCACCUCAAAACCAUCAUAAAAAACAUGCAAAGGAAGGCUGAACAGGGCACUUUCGGCGGCAGGUUCGGCGGCCGAAAGUCCCUCCAGAGCCGAAAGUCAUGCAGGUUCGGCGGCACCUUCGGCGGCCGAAAGUGCCCUCCAGAGAUGAAAGUCCAUUUUCGGGGGCAGGGUUCGGCAGCCAAAAGGCUUGCCUCACAGGCAGGUUCGGCGGCCGAAAGUCCCUUCGGCUGCCGAACCUGGUUUCUUCCAAAUGGUAGAAACUCGGCUCAAACAUGCAUAAACGCCUCCCAAACCUUCAAUCAUGCAUUCAACACUCCCACAACAUGCAUACAUUCAUACAUAAGCUCCUAGGGGCUUCAAACUAUCCUAAACCCCAACUACAACACAUCAAAUAUACAUAAACAACCCACAUUGUCCACAUAUCCACAUAAACCCCAUCAAAGCUCAACUAACCUAAACAUGCAUUUCUACCCCAUAAAACUUCUUAAAACUUGUUUAAAACAUAAAAUGAGCUCAAGAUCGGCUCUUACCUCUUGAAGAUCGAGAGGGGAGGCGACCUAAACUUGGAGAACGGAGAGAGAGAGCUCCUGAGUCUUCCAAGCUUCAAACUUGCUCUUUUGCUCAAAAAUCUUCAAAACAAAGUGAAAACUCAUGAAAAUCAUAAAAGAUUUGAAGGAAGAAACUCAAAAUCAGCGAGGGAUGGCGGAGAGCUCACCUUGGCUGAAAAUGGGGAGAAAAGCUUGCUCGUUUCGGCUAAGGGACCCCUUUAUAGGUGGCUGGCCAGGCCACAUUCGGGGGCGGAACUUGCCUCCGCAUUCUUACCAUGUUCGGUGGCCGAACAUAGGGUUCGGCGGCCGAACCUGGACUUCCCUCACUUAUGCCUUCGGGGCCUAAGGCACUCCCGAAGUGCAUGCAUGUUUGGCGGCCGAACUUGAGGUUCGGCGGCCGAACCUGGGUUUUCCUCCAAAGUUGAUUUCAUGCAAAAACUCAUUUUCUUUCUUGCUUAAAACCAUAAAAUACAUUAAAACAUUUUAGGAAAAUAUGAUCUUACCCUUCUAGAGGUUUUCGACAUCCGAGAUUCCACCGGACGGUAGGAAUUCCGAUACCGGAGUCUAGCCGGGUAUUACAUUCUCCCCCCCUUAAGAACAUUCGUCCCCGAAUGUUCCUCAACUAGCACAUGCAAGGCACAAACAACAUAUUAUACAUAAAACACACAUAAAACUAACCUUAGAAGAGGUGAGGGUAUUGCUGGAGUAUGGACUCCCAUGUCUCCCAGGUGCAUUCUUCCAUAUUGUGGUGGUUCCAAAGGACUUUCACCAUCGGGAUUUCCUUGUUCCUUAGCUUUAUGAUAUGAGUGUCAAGAAUCCGUACUGGCUGUUCGAUAUAAGUGAGAUCUUCUAGGAUCUCCACAUCUGGCUCACUAAGAACCUUGCCCGGAUCUGACACGAACUUCCUCAACAUGGAAACAUGGAAAACCGGAUGGAUUCUUUCCAUUGAAGCAGGUAAAUCCAGCUUGUACGACACAUUCCCAAUCUUCUGCAAGAUUUCAAAGGGUCCGAUGUAUCGUGGGGCUAGCUUACCUUUCUUCCCAAAACGAACCACUCCUUUCAUAGGAGACACUCUGAGCAAUACCAGAUCUCCCUCCUGAAACUCUACCUAUCUUCUGCGGAUAUCUGCAUAGCUUUUCUGUCUGCUCACAGCAGUUCUGAUCCUUUCUCUGAUCAUGGGCACCACCCUGCUGAUGAUCUCUACCAGCUUAGGCCCUGCUAAAGCCCUCUCUCCUACUUCUUCCCAGCAAACGGGUGAUCUGCACUUCCUCCCAUAUAAAGCUUCAUAAGGAGCCAUCCCUAUGCUAGCAUGAUAGCUGUUAUUGUAGGCAAACUCCACCAAGGGUAGAUGCUGCCUCCAAGAACCGCCAAAAUCUAGCCACACAUUCUGAGCAUAUCCUCUAUCGUCUGGAUGGUCCUCUCUGACUGUCCAUCAGUCUGGAGAUGGAAGGCAGUACUGAAAUCCAACCUGGUACCCAUAGCACUCUGCAGACUCCGUCAAAACCUGGAGAUGAACUGGGGCCCUCUAUCCGACACUAUCGAAACAGGAACCCCGUGCAGCCUGACCACUUCAUCCACAUAGACCUGCGCUAACUUAUCCACAGAGUAGUUGCUCCUAACAGGGAUGAAGUGAGCAGAUUUGGUGAGUCUAUCCACAAUCACCCAUAUAGAGUCUAAUCUGUUGGAUGUUGCUGGUAACCCCACCACAAAGUCCAUGGCGAUAUUCUCCCAUUUCCACUCUGGAAUCGGCAGUGGAUUAAGCAUUCCAGCCGGCUUCUGAUGUUCCAGCUUCACCCUCUGAUAUACUUCGCAGGCUGACACAAACUGUGCCACUUCCCUCUUCAUAGCUGGCCACCAAUACACUCUCUUUAGAUUCUGAUACAUCUUGGUGGCUCCAGGGUGAACGUUGUACCUGGCAUUAUGAGCUUCCCUCAUAAUGUCCCCCUUCAGACCUACAUCAUCUGGUACACAUAAUCGAUUCCCAUAGCGGAGGAUCCCUUUAUCAUCAAAUCUGAACUCUUCAUUCUUGCCUGACUGAACAGUCCUGGCAAUCUUCACUAACUCUGGGUCCUCGUGCUGUUUCUGAGCCACCUGCUCCAGAAACACAGGUGUCACUCUCAUCUGGGCUAUUAAAGCACCUGUACCAGACAACUCCAACUGUAGACCUUCAUUAAUGAGCUUAUGGAGCUCUUUCACCACCGGUCUCCUCUCUGCAGUGAUGUGGGAUAAAUUGCCAAAUGAUUUCCAGCUUAAGGCAUCAGCUACAACAUUAGCCUUGCCCGGAUGGUACUGGAUCUUGCAAUCAUAGUCACUCAACAGCUCUACCCACCGUCUCUGCCUCAAGUUUAACUCUCUCUGACUCAAAAUGUGCUGCAGGCUCUUAUGAUAUGUGAAGAUCUCACAUUUUACCCCAUAGAGGUAAUGCCUCCACAUCUUGAGUGCAAAGAUAACUGCUGCCAUCUCAAGAUCGUGUGUAGGGUAAUUCAACUCAUGCCUCUUCAGCUGCCUGGAAGUAUAAGCAAUCACCCUUCCGUUCUGCAUUAACACACAACCCAAACCCACUCUGGAUGCAUCACAGAACACUGUGAAGUCCUCAUUGCUGAUUGGCAGAGCUAACUCUGGUGCUGAGGUCAACCUCUUCUUAAGCUCUUCGAAACUCUCUUCGCACUGGUCUGUCCAUACAAACUUCUGAUUCUUUCUAGUCAGUGUGGUCAUAGGAGCUGCUAUCUUUGAGAAGUCCUGCACGAACCUCCUGUAGUAACCUGCCAGACCUAAGAAACUCUUGAUCUCUGUCACUGUAGUGGGUCUAGGCCAGUUAGCCACAGCUUCUACCUUCUUGGGGUCUACUUCAAUCCCAUUUUCUGAUACAACAUGCCCCAAGAAUGAUAUGCUCCUCAACCAGAACUCACAUUUGGAGAACUUGGCAUAUAAGCCGUGUUCCCUCAAAGUCUGCAAAACUGUCCUCAGAUGAUGGGCAUGCUCCUCUGCAUUUCUGGAAUACACUAGGAUAUCAUCUAUGAAGACAAUAACAAAGCGAUCUAGGUACUGUCUGAAAACCCUGUUCAUGAGAUCCAUGAAUGCUGCAGGGGCAUUGGUUAACUCGAACGGCAUCACAAGGAACUCAAAAUGCCCAUAUCUGGUCCUGAAGGCCGUCUUCGGCACAUCUUCCUCUCUUAUCCUCAGCUGGUGAUACCCGGACCUCAGAUCUAUUUUGGAGAAACAACCCGCUCCUGCUAGCUAAUCGAAUAGAUCAUCGAUCCUAGGCAAUGGAUACUUGUUUUUAGUGGUGACUUUGUUCAACUGCCUGUAGUCGAUACAAAGUCUGAGGGAUCCAUCCUUCUUUCUCACAAAAAGCACUAGAGCACCCCAAUGUGAGGUACUCGGUCGGAUGAAACCCUUGUCUACCAGCUCUUGCAACUGUUCCUUCAACUCUUUCAACUCAGCUGGUGCCAUCCUGUAGGGAGGGAUAGAGAUCGGUCUGGUUCCAGGCAUCAAUUCUAUCUCGAACUCUAUCUCCCUAGCAGGUGGUAAUCUUGGCAGCUCGUCUGGGAAGACAUCUAAAAACUCUCUAACCACUGGCACUGAGGCGGGCUCUCUAACCUGACUGUUAAGCUCUCUCACAUGAGCCAAAUGCCCCUGACAUCCCCUCCUAAGCAACCUACGAGCCUGAAGAGCUGAGAUCAGACCUCUAGGUGUACCCCUCCUGUCUCCCCUGAAGACAACCUCUGACCCAUCCUGACCUCUGAACCUGACUACCUUGUCUCUGCAGUCCAAGGUAGCACCAUGGGUAGAUAGCCAAUCCAUCCCUAGAAUGACGUCAAAAUCUGUCAACUCUAGAACCACAAGGUCGGCUGAAAGGCAUCUCCCCUCAACAAAAACUGGACUACACUGGCAGACUGACUCUGCCACUGAUGGAUCACACUUGGGUCCACUGACCCAAAGAGGACACUCUAACCCAGAGACCAUCAAUCCCAACCUCUCAACGGCUCUUGGAGCAAUAAAAGAAUGAGAUGCACCAGGGUCCAUCAAGGCAUAAACAUCUGAACAACCAAUGACGAGAUUACCUACCACCACGGUGUUAGAUGCAUCUGCCUCCUACUGUGUCAUCGUGAAGAUCUGUGCUGGUGCUGAUGGACCUUCACCUCUGAAACCCGCUGAAGAAGAGGCUGCCCCUCUUCCUCUACCUUUGCCACUGGCCUGAGUCGCGACUGGAGCUACUGGCUGAGCUACACUGCCAGAAGCGGUCUGCUGGGACUGUGCCAUAGGAACUACUCUUGGACACUCCCGAGCCAUGUACCCCUCUUGCCCACAUCUGAAACAUACAUUCGUCCUAGCCCGACAGAUCCCUUUGUGUGGCUUACCACACCUCAUACAUACUGCAUUAUCUGCACCAGAACUUGAGCCACUCCCUAAUCUCAAACCUGACUUGAUCUUGUUCCAGAACUUGUUCUUCUUAAACUUGGCUUUACCCCAUCUCUUACUGCCUGAAGCUGCUGCACUCAGGGUAGAGGGAUCUAACCUUCCCCCACCCGGGGUUUUAGAACUAGAAGAUUGCGCCAUCGACUGCUUAACUGUCCCCUGAAUGAUGGCACUGGCCUCCAUUUUUCGGGCCAUAUCCACUAUGGCAUGGAAGCUCUCCCUAUCUGCUGACUAAAUCAAGGAGGAAUACCUGGAAUGAAGUUUCAUGAUAUACCUCCUUGACUUCUUUCUGGUCUGUGUCAAUAUUUUGCCCUGCAAACGGCAACAGCUCCAAGAAUCUAUCUGUGUACUCAUCUAUACUCAUCUCAUCUGUUUGCCUCAACUGUUCAAAUUCUAUCAUCUUCAACUCCCUUGAGCUAUCAGGAAAAGCCCAUCCUGCGAACUUAUUUGCAAACUCUUCCCAGGUCAUGCUGUCCACCCUCGGGUUCACAUAAUUUUUAAACCACUCACGGGCCUUCUUGUACUUCAGUGUGAACCCAGCCAUCUGAAUGGCUCUACUGUCAUCAGCUCCUAUCUCAUCUGUAAUCAUCUUGACCCUUCCAAGGUACUCAAACGGGUCAUCGCCUUUAUCAUACUGAGGAGCACUAAGCUUCAUAUAAUCGGUCAUCUUGACCUUGCUCCCUCUGGAUGAGCUAGGUUUAGGCACUUGGGUCUCUGGAAUUGUGGGUUCAGCUGGUGGUGGAGGAGGUGCAGCAUUCCCUGAGGUAGGGUUUGCUGGAUUUGGAUAGUAUGGAGGGGGUGGAUACAUAGGGUACUGGGAGUAUGGUGGAUAGAAAGGUGGGUAUGGCAUGUGUGUGGGAUAUGGGUUGAAGCUAGGGUAAUCCAAUGUACCUCCCAUCGAAUACCCGGGAUUUUGUGAGAAGGGUGGGUAGUGGGGUGGUUGGACAAACCCCGAGGCCUGAGUGCCUCCCUGUGACUCUCCCAUACCCUCUUCUGACAUGCUCACACCAAGGCUGCCAUCCCUCCUCUGAUCCACAUCCAUAUCAUCUCCCAUAUCUUCUGACAUACCUCCCUGAACUGUUCCCCUCACAGAUCUGCUUCUACCCAAAUCCAAAGACCUCUUAGGGUCUCUUACUACUCUUUCUCUGCUGGACCUGCUUGACAUUGCCCUAGGCAAUGCAGGAGGACAGGCAUCCGUGCCCUCGUCCUGAGGUGGUACUCCAGUCAAUCGUGUAGAUCGACGAGUUCCUCUCAUCCUGUUUUCUGAAAAACAGCACAUAAACACACAACAUCAGCAUCAUAUGGUUCAUGUGGAAACACAUGAACCCGCAUCACAUACAUAGCAUUCAUAACAUAUCAUUAAUGCACAUGCAAGUUUUGGAAACUUGGAGACCAAAGAGCGGAUUUCUCCCAUCUCCGAGUUGGAUCGUCUCUCCUCUCGUUCUUCAAGAGGUAAGAGUAGAUCCAUAGUUCCUUUAAUGUUUUGAGCAAGUUUUAUGAAGUUUCUUGGGGUAGAAAUGCAUGUGUAGGUUUAUGAUGGGUUUUUGGUUAAAUGUGUGUUUAUGAGCAAUGUGGGUUGCUUGAUGUGUUGUAGUUGGGGUUUAGGAUAGUUUGAAGCCCCUAGGAGCUUGUAUGCUUGAGAAUGCAUGUUGUAGAAUAGGAAAAUGCAUGAUUGAAAGGUUUGGGAGGCAAUAUGCACAGAGGAGCCGAGUUUCUGCCAUUUGGGAGAAACCAAGUUCGGCCGCCGAAGGCUCUUUCGGCCGCCGAACCUGCCAAUGAGGCAAGCCUUUCGGCUGCCGAAGCCUGCCCUCGAAAAGAGACUUUCGUCUCUGUUGGGCACUUUCGGCCGCCGAAAGUGCCGCCGAACCUGCAUGACUUUCGGCUCUGGAGGGACUUUCGGCCGCCGAAUCUGCCGCCGAAAGUGCCCUGUUCAGCCUUCCUUUGCAUGUUUCCCAUGAUUGUUUUGAGGUGUUUUAGGGGGUUUUUAGGGAGUGUUUUAAAGUCAUGUUUAUGUGUGUUUGGUCCCUCAUUUGAGUCCACCUUUGUAAGUUCGGACCCGAGGAAACGAGGACCCCAGCAAUGAGAUAGCUGCUUUAGUGUCUGGUCAGAGCUUCAGCUAGAGGUGAGUAGAAUAAACUCUUAAGUUUUAAAUUAAAGAAAUAUAAAUUUUGAGCAUAUUCAUGCAUCACGAAUGCCAUGUGAUAUUAUAGGUUGACUGCAUUAGAAUUCACGAAUAUGUUGCAUUGCAUAUUUUGAUGUUGAUGUGGAUGGAUGUUGGAUGACCCAUUGGUCCUCAGUAUGAUGAGACAUGAUAUGACAUGAUAUGGAAGACCAGGUGUGGCUUGCACUACGCCCCUGGCACUAUGUAAGUGAAAGUCCGGGUGUGGCCUGCACUAUGCCCCGGCACAGUUGGACAUGUAUGCUAUGAUAUAUGUAAGGGAAAGACCAGGUGUGGCCUGCACUACGCCCCUGGCACAGUUGGACCAUGUAGAGGACCUUUGGUGACAAGUCCAUCCUUGAUGUGAUUUAUUUGUGAUGUGAUGCAUUACAUGAUAGCAUGUGUUUUAAAUGUUUUAUUAUUCUGCUCACUGGGCUCUUGUAGCUCACCCCAUUCCCUUAACCCCCAGGUUUGCAGGUACAGGGUAGACCAGGAGGUCAGCAGGAGUAGAGUUUUGUUUAUGUAAUAGAUAGCUGUGGACAUGAAUACGAUGUAAUGUAAAAGUAUAGUUUUGUACUGUUAUGUAAUGGUGCUUAUGGAAGUUUAGAGUUGUGCUUGACCAUAGUAUGUUGUUUAUCCCUUUAUGAGUACAUGAUCUGUUUAUUGAUGCUUAUGUAAACCAAACUUAAUAUAUUUUAUGUUAUGUUACCCCAUUGGAGUAUUUGAUGAGGACUCCAAUGAGGGGUUGAUGCCUAUGUUAUGAAUAGUGCAUGCACAGGUUGAGUUUGGUGAAUAAAAAGAAAAGUUUAAAUUUUUUUAAGUAUGUUGUUGAUCAUGUAUGGGAUUAAACAGGUUUACAGGAUGUAUGUCAGGCUUGCUAUGCCGUUCUGGAUCCUAGCGCCGGUAGCGGUCCGGUUUCCGGGCUGUUACAAUCAUACAAGACAGGACUCCACAUCCUAUCCUAGUGGACAUGAUUUUUCCUAUUGUGCUUGACCUUCUAUAACAUCUAUGAGCCCGACACACUAUAGGUCCGACCAUAUGAACCUAAGGCUCUGAUUCCACUCUGUAACGACCCGGAAAUCCGGACCGCUACCGGCGCUAGGAUCCAGAUCGACUUAAGAUCACCGGGACCCGUAGCAAGCCUAACUUGUCACCUGUAUACCUGUUAAAUCCCAUACAUGAUCAUACAUACUCAAAAACCUGUAAACUUUUUCUCUUUCCAUUAACCAAGCUCAACCUGUACAUACUCAUCACACAAACAUAAACCACACACUGGAGCCCUCAUCAAAUGCUCCAAUGGGGUAUCAUAACAUGCAUACAUUAAGCUUGGUCUAUCAUAAAUAUCAUAAGACACAAUAUAGAUCAUGUAUCAAAAGGGAUAACAUUCACAUAGGGUCAAGCACAAUUUCUAAUCCUCGAUACAUCAUUAGAUAACCCAACUUUAAAACUUUACAUUUACAAUCCAUCAUGUCCACAUUCUAACUAUUACAAACACUCAUGACUUUACUCUUCUCGACUCCCUGGUCUAGCCCGUACCUGCAAACCUAGGGGAUAAGGGAAAUGGGAUGAGCUACUAGAGUCCAGUGAGCAGAAUAGUAAAAACAUUUAAAACAUAUGCAAUCAUGUAAUGCAUCACAUCACAGACAAAUCACAUCAAGGGUGAACCUGUCACCAAAUAGUCCCAGCAUCAUAUCCGUGUCAGGCCGUAGAAUGGGGUCCUGGUCUUCCUGUCAUAUCAUACAUUACUUACCAUUGCCUCAGGGCCUCAUCUGGGCACCUGGUCUUCGCGUUCCAUACCGUGUCAGGCCGUAGAAUGGGGUCCUGGUCUUUCAUACCGUGCCAGGCCAUAGAAUGGGGUCCUGGUCUUUCCUCAGGGACUAAUUGGAUCAUUCAGCAUUCACCCACAUCCACAACAAAGGAUGCAAUGCAACAUAUUCGUGGAUACUAAUGCAACAACCUAUUAUAUCACAUGGCAUUCGUGAUGCAUGAUUCAUGCUAAAACUUGCAUUAAUUUAAAACAUAAGGUUUAUUCUACUCACCUCUGGCUGAAGCUCUAAAGACUCUGAAGCAGCUAUCUCACUGCUGGGGUCCUCGGUUCCUCGGGUCCGAACCUACACAGGUGGACUCAAAUGAGGGACCAAACAUACAUGAACAUGACCCUAAAACACUCCCCAAAAACCCCCUAAAGCACCUCAAAACCAUCAUAGAAAACAUGCAAAGGAAGGCUGAACAGGGCACUUUCGGCGGCAGGUUCGGCGGCCGAAAGUCAUGCAGGUUCGGCGGCACCUUCGGCGGUCAAAAGUGCCCUCCAGAGAUGAAAGUCCAUUUUCGGGGGCAGGGUUCGGCAGCCAAAAGGCUUGCCUCACAGGCAGGUUCGGCGGCCGAAAGUCCCUUCGGCUGCCGAACCUGGUUUCUUCCAAAUGGCAGAAACUCGGCUCAAACAUGCAUAAACGCCUCCCAAACCUUCAAUCAUGCAUUCAACACUCCCACAACAUGCAUACAUUCAUACAUAAGCUCCUAGGGGCUUCAAACUAUCCUAAACCCCAACUACAACACAUCAAACAUACAUAAACAACCCUCAUUGUCCACAUAUCCACAUAAACCCCAUCAAAGCUCAACUAACCUAAACAUGCAUUUCUACCCCGUAAAACUUCUUAAAACUUGUUUAAAACAUAAAAUGAGCUCAAGAUCGGCUCUUACCUCUUGAAGAUCGAGAGGGGAGGCGACCUAAACUUGGAGAACAGAGAGAGAGAGCUCCUGAGUCUUCCAAGCUUCAAACUUGCUCUUUUGCUCAAAAAUCUUCAAAACAAAGUGAAAACUCAUGAAAAUCAUAAAAGAUUUGAAGGAAGAAACUCAAAAUCGGCGAGGGAUGGCGAAGAGCUCACCUUAGCCGAAAAUGGGGAGAAAAGCUCGCCCGUUUCUGCUAAGGGACCCCUUUAUAGGUGGCUGGCCAGGCCACAUUCGGGGGCCGAACUUGCCUCCGCAUCCUUACCAUGUUCGGCGGCCGAACAUAGGGUUCGGCGGCCGAACCUGGACUUCCCUCACUUAUGCCUUCGGGGGCCUAAGGCACUCCCGAAGUGCAUGCAUGUUCGGCGGCCGAACCUGGGUUUUCCUCCAAAGUUGAUUUCAUGCAAAAACUCAUUUUCUUUCUUGCUUAAAACCAUAAAAUACAUUAAAACAUUUUAGGAAAACAUGAUCUUACCCUUCUAGAGGUUUCCGACAUCCGAGAUUCCACCGGACGGUAGGAAUUCCGAUACCGGAGUCUAGCCGGGUAUUACAUAAUCAGUCACAUCAUCAUUGAAUUAUCAAGAAAAUACUAUAUUUAUCUUUAUUUUUUUAUAUUAUAAAAAGAGAAGGAUCACAAAUAUAAAAUGGUAAAAAAACUAAAGAUUAAAAAUUACAGAUGGUCAUUCUAAAUUAGUUAGAAAAUAAAUUUCUCAACUAAUUCUCAUAUUUUAACCCUAAUUUAAGUCUCCCAGACUUAUUUAAAUAAGGAUAAUUAAAGAAAAAAUUUAUAAACUAACUAAAAAAUUCAAUAGAGUGCGAACCUAUCAAAAAUUAAAGAUAUGGGUAAAUUAAUCGUAAAAAAUUAUUAAAAUUAAGAAACAAUCACAAAAAAAAAAUUUAAUGAAAGGUAGAACAACUAACAUAAUAAAUUAAUGUACGAGAAAAAUAUAAUUGAAAAAAGUUAUUUAUUUUUAAAAAAAUUUAAUAUAUUGCAAAAAAUUAAUAUGUGGAUAAAUAAUUGCAUAGGUUAUUAAAAACAGCAAACAAGCAAGAAAUUUUUUUUAUUUUUAAUGAAUGUACAGAUAAGACACUAAAUUAAAAUGCAGCAAAAAGAAAUAAAUUUUCAUGCGUAAAAUUAUAUAGAAAAUUGAAAAAAAAAAAGACUAUUGUUAUUAAAAACUAGAUGGGCACUAAAUUUUUAAAAAUUUGUACAGUUUACCUAUACAAAUGUACUUAAAAUAAAGAAAAAAUAAUUUAAAAUUUAUGCUUACAAAUAUUUCUAUAAAAAAGAGCAACUCAAAAUAAGUAUUCUAUAAUAUAUAAAUAAAUUAUAGAAAACCAACAAGAAAUUAUAAAAAUUUAUUAAACAUCACAUAGUAAUAAUUUUUUAGUGAUUCAAAAGGUUAUUACUUAUGAAAAUAAACCAAUAAAUCAGUGUAAAACUAUUAUGAAGGUCAAAUCUAAGAUUUAUAUAUGAUUUAUGUAUGUGUAAAAAAAAUGAUAAAAAAAUUUAAAAUAAUCACCCAUUUCAAAAAGCGAACUUUUAUUGAUUCGGUGAAUCUCUUCGAUCCCUAAGGAAAUGGAACGGCAAGAAUCACAAUUUAAACAAAAUAAAUUUUAUGAAAAUAAAUAAAUUAAGCUAAAAAAACAUGAAACUAUAUGAAAAUCGGUGAUGUAUAGACAAUUCUUUGUAAAUUGAGUUGGAAUAAAAAAAAUACUAUAAAUUUUCUAUUUACCCAAGUGAUAUGGUAAAAUUUUAGACACAUAUUUAUAUAUUUUUAGAAUUACAUCGACUUAUUUUAAUUGAUUCUUUUUAAUUUUAUUAAAUUUUUAUGUUUAAUUUUAAAAUUUUUAAUUUUAGUCUAUUAAUUAAUAUUUCUAUAAUAUACAUCGUGUUUUGCUUUUUCCUGCAUUUCGUUUCAUAUUUUCGAUAGUAUGACGAAUGCUCUAGAUUUUUCUCUAUGACCUUCUAUAAUAUACUAAAUGACUUGUUUUUGCUUAUUUUUGAAUACGGAUACACCUAUAAAUCACCAGAAACUCAAGAAAAGAUACAUAAAAAAAUUAAUAUACUUUUAAUUUUUUUAAUACUAAUAAUAAUAAAAUAAAAAUAAUUAAAAAUUAAAAUAAAAGAUAUAUUUAGUUAAUUUAAACCUUUCAAAUUUUACUACUUUCAAAUAAUUUUAAUAGAAUAUUUAAAAUUCUAAUAAUAUUGAAAUAAAAAAAAUUAGUAACAGUAAACGUUCGUAAAUAAUUCUAUUUUGUUAUACUAAAAUAAAAUUAUAAAUAAAAUAAUUAACAAUAAAAUUAGAUAUAUUGAAAAAUUAGUCAUUUUUCGAAUUAUAAAUGACUAAGUAUAUUUUUAUUAAAAAAUCAAUAAUUUUAAGUAAAACAAAAAUAUAAAAUUAUUAAUUUUGAAAUUUUUAUAGUAUUAGGAUAAAGUUUCUCUUAUGAUUAAUAUUAUAAUUGCACUAUAAUAGUUCUUUUAUAUAUAUAUAUAUAUAUAUAUAUAUAUAUAUAUAUAUAUGUGUGUGUGGGGUAAGCAUUUGGUCGAUUCGAUUUAAAAUUAAAUCGAAUUAAAUAAAUUAAAAAUUAAAAUUUUAAUAUUUAUGAAAAUCAAAUCGAAUCGAUUUUGAUUAGAAAUCAAAUUGAAUUGAACUGAAUCGGUCUGAUUCGAUUAGAUUCAGUUUGAAUUUUUAAUAAAUUUUUUAUUUUUUUACACUUUAUUUUUAAUAUUAUAAAAUUUAAUUGAAAUAUUUUAACCUUAAUAUGAUCUACUCUCUCUAUAUUAUUGAAAAUAAUAUAUUAUUAUCACUAAUCGGUUCGAUUUAAUUUUUAAAAUUUUUUUAUUAAAAUCGAAUCGAACUGAAAUAAUCAAAAUUUUUAAAAUUAAAAAUAAAUCGAACUAAAAUAAAUAAAAAAAUUAAACCAAAUUUUAAAUUAAUUCAAUUUGAUCAAUUUUUUUAAUUUGAAUCAAAUGCUGUUUACGUCUGGACAAAUGAAACCCUGAACACGACCAUAGUCUUGCAUAGCACAAUUCCUCACUCAAUCAUACCAACGGCCGAUGAUGAUGCAUUCGCCGACAAUAGGCCAACAAUAGUACCCGAGAUAUUGUAUUUUGUCGCCUAAGCCAAUGUUACCAAAUAUGGACGACUAGGCAAAAGGAAGAAAGAUCAUCCUACAAUUUUAAAACUCUAUGCAUCCUCGAUUUUCGAGUUUGAGUAGUCCUCACCAGCCAUAUGAAAGCCUCAAAUCUGGCCUAACCACCUCAUCUCAACACUCUUCAGACAUUCCCUAAAAAAGUAGGGGCUCAAUUAUGAUUGUGUUGAAAAGAUCUUCGAGCCGAGGUGAUGCCCUUUUUAGUGUAGCACUUCUAAACUGCAUAUGGUCUUUUGCAAGAACAAAAUAAGAGGUCAGAGAGACUUGGCAGAAACCAAUGCAAUUACCACUGAUGAAGAAGAAAUUAGUCAAUGCAAACGAACCGACUAGUUUUGAAAAAGGAAAAGUCAUGGGCCUAAGACUUCUCAAUUUGGCCUUUUAUUUGAUAAAGCUUUUAUAGAGCUUAGGACCACUGAAGUUUCAAACGCCAAUUCUUUCUAGGGCCACAACCCAUGGAAAAAGUUGAAGAUGAAUGGGCGGGCUGCAAAGAACUUCUGAAACCCAAAGGACCUUCUCUUUCAAUAAUUUCUCAUGGAUUGAGGCUCGAACAACUUCUUUUUUGGGACUUGUUGAUUUUUCCAGCUACCAAAAAUUUUUGAGGAGUCCAAAGAGUCAGAACCAACUGCGACCAUGCAUCAACCAAGUAACUCAUAAGGCUCCAAAGCCCUAAGUAAACCUUUUAUACAGCUUUAAUCCAAAACAAGUAACUCCCUAUGUAUUUCAUACAUCAUAAAAAAUACAUUUAUUACAACUUCUGUAACACACUCUAUUUGGUAUAUCAAUGAAUUAUUUUAGAUAUAUCAUAAAUAAUGAAAAAACCCAUAAUCAAUGCAGAUAUCAGAUUCUUCCUCCCUCUAGCAGUUACUGCUCUCUAUUUUAUACGCGUGAUAAAAUCUAACGCGCUAAACUUACACCUAAUAAUGCUCAUUUAUUCUUAAAUAAAGACUCAAUAACAUAAUAAAUCAUAUUCACAAGUAAUUAUUUAUAAAAUGAAGAAUAAUCAGUUAUAAUAAAAAAUAAUAAUAAAAGUAAUAAUAAUAAGAUCUAUAAGAGUUUACACAUCAGGUACAUUCUCAUAAAACAAAUUAGAUAUAAAGUUAAACCGAAAAUCUCUUUUUUCAUAGAUAUUGGGAUAAAUUCAUGUAAAUAUAUUAAUAUAUUAUCACAUCAGGUAUAUUCUCAUAAAACAAAUUAGGUAUAAAGUCUCCCAUACUUAUUUGAAUAAGGAUAAUUAAAGAAAAAAUCUACAAACUAACGAAAGAAAACAAAAUUGACAAAGUCUAAUUUACUAUAAUAGCAAAUUUGGACACCAAGCAAUUAAAAUUAAAUUUCACAUAAAAUACUAUGCUAAACAUUGUAAAAGAAUUUUGGACCAAUAAGAUACUAAACUAAAACAUGAAAAAGAAAAACUUCAAUUUGUGCAUCACAUUUUUAAAUUAACAAAAAUGCAAAAUUGACAUUAAUGCAAAAAAAAUGUGAGAAAUAUAAUAAAAUUAAAAUUUUCAUAAAAAAAAUUCUAACUCCUUUUACAAGAUAACUAAUAUAAUAAAUUAACAUAUAAAAAAUAUAAUUAUAAAAAAAUAAGUUAUUUAUUCUAAAAAAAUUCAAUAGAGUGUGAACCUAUCAAAAAAUUAAGAUAUGGGUCAAUUAAUCGCAAAAAAUUAUUAAAAAUAAGUAACAAUCACAAAAAAGAAAAUUUAAAGAAAGGUAGAACAACUAACAUAAUAAAUUAAUAUACGAGAAAAAUAUAAUUUAAAAAAAAGCUAUUUAUUUUUAAAAAAAAUUCAAUAUAUUGCAAAAAAUUAAGAUGUGGAUAAAUUAAUUGCAUAAGUUAUUAAAAACAACAAAUAAUCUUGAAAUUUUUUUAAUUUUUAAUGAAUGGACAGAUAAGACACAAAAUUAAAAUGCAGCGAAAAGAAAUAAUUUUUUAUGCAUAAAAUAAUAUAGAAAAUUAAAAAAAAAACGACUAUUGUUAUUAAAAACUAGAUGACCACUAAAUUUUUAAAAAUUUCUACAGUUAACCUAUAUGAAUGUACUUAAAAUAAAAUUUAAAAAAAUACUCUAAAAUUUACACUUACAAAUAUUUCCAUAAAAAAGAACAACUCAAAAUAAAUAUUUUAAAACAUAUAAAUAAAGUACAGAAAACCAACAAGAAAUUAUAAAAAUUCAUUAAAGAUUACAUAAUAAUAAUUUUUUAGUGAUUCAAAAGGCAAUUACUUAGGAAAAUAAAUCAAUAAAUCUGUAUAAAACUAUUACGAAGGUCAAAUCUAAUAUUUAUAUAUGAUUUAUGUAUAUGUAACAAUAAUGAUAAAAAAAUUUAAAAUAAUCAUCUAUAUUGAAAAGUGAACUUUUAUUGAUUUGGUGAAUCUUUUUGAUAUUUUAAGGAAAAGGAAUGGCAAAAAUCAUAAUUUAAACAAAAUAAAUUUUAUGAAAAUAAAUAAAUAAAGCUAAAAAAACAUGAAACUAUAUGAAAAUACCGGUGAUGUAUAAAAAAUUCGUUGUAAAUUGAGUUGGAAUAAAAAAAAUACUAUAAAAAUGUAAUUUUCCAUUUACCCAAGUGAUAUGGUAAAAUUUUACACACUUAUUUAUAUAUUUUUAGAACUACAUCCACUUAUUUUGAUUAAUUCUCUUUAAUUUUAUUAUAUUUUUAUCUGUAAUUUUAAGAUUUUUAAUUUUAGUCUAUUAAUUGAUAUUUUUAUAAUAUAUUUCGUGUUUUGCUCUUUUCUGCAUUUCGUUCUAUGUUUUUGACAGAAUGACUAAUUCUCUAGAAAUUCAACAAAAGAUUUAGAAGAUCUAGAAAAAUAAAUCUAUGCAUCUAAAGUUUUUUCUUUCUUCUUAUAUUCUUUUGAAUUAUUGCUUAUAAUUAUUUUACGAUAAUUUUAGAUAAUUUCUUAACAGAAUUUAUUCUUAAAUUUUUUAACAUUAGCAACUAAAUUCCUUUUCUAGAAAUUUGAUGUAGCUUGAGUUGAUUUUCUUUAUCUAUUUAUUAUUCAUUUCUUGAAAUUAAUACUUUUUAAAUAUUUACGGGAUACUUGAAUAUUUGAAUGAUUUUAUCCUAAAAUUAAUAGUAAUAGAGGACGUUUUAGAACUGAAUUGAAAAUUAAAUAUCACAUGAAUAUUGAUUAGAUUGGAAAUGAAGAUUUGAUUUAUAAUAUUUUAUAUAAAAUAUUAUAGUGUUUGAGAAAUUAAUUAAAGUAUUAUCACAUUAUUGAAUGAUAUAUAAUAAUUUUUAAUUAAUUAAUUUAGUCUUACGGAGAAGAUGAUCCAUUAUCUUAAGAUUAUUUAUUCUAUAUUUGAUAAGUAAAAUUAUAUUAUUAAUCAAAUUAAUUAAUUAAAUAAGGUGCAAGUGGAACGAAAAUACCCAAUAUUUAAUAUUAAUUGUUUUACAAAUUCUACUUGUUUAAUUUUAUUUCUUUAUUUUAUUUUAAUUUUAUGAUAUUAUUAUUAAUAGUCCAAAUAAUAAUCAGAUUUAUAAAUAUUUUAAUAUUUAAAUUUUUGAUUUUAGUAGAUACAAUAUUUUAAUCACUCUUUAUUAUUUAAACAAUUUUAUUCUUGUAAAUACAGUACACUAUCACCAACAAUAAUGUUUUUAUAAUUUUUUUAGUCUCUUUCCCUCCAAAAGACAUUUUGAAUUGGAAUUUAUGACAGUUUUAUAAUAAAAAAUUGAUAAUUUAAGAUUAUAUAUUUGUUUCACAGAAAAUAUUUUUUAAAAAAAUAUUUUUCACAUUUUCUUGCCUUUGAAGCACUCAAAAAUUUUAAUUAAUGAAAAAUAUUUUUUAAAAAAUAAGUCAUUUUCCAUACCUUGACAUUUUUAUUAAAAUUUUCAUAUAUAAAUUUGUUAAUAAAUUUUAUUUUUUAAAUUAAGAUUAAGUAAUAAAAAAUAAAUUAUAUUAUUGAAAAAUAUUUUUCACAGAAAAUAUUUUGUAUAGAAAAGUAUAGAAAAUAUUUUUCACAUUAAUUUCCCCAUCUAAGUGGAGUCUAAGACUAACUUUAAUCUAAUUAUAUACUAACUAGAAAAUUCAGAAUAAAAAAAAUAAUAAGGUAGGAAUUUUAUCCUUUGAUCGUAACAAAAAAAAAUAAAAUUCUCUUAAGAUUUUAUUUAUUUGCAGAAAAUAACUUACACCUUGUAAAACAUUUUUCAUAUAAAAUGUAUUUUAUGUGGAAAAUAUUUUUAAUGAAAAAAAUUUAUCAAAGUAUUUUUUAUGAAAAAAAUUUCGCAAAUAUUUUGUAUGAAAAAAGUUUAGCAAUAAAAUAAUUUAUUUUUUAUUGUUUAAUUUUAAUUUAAAAAAUAAAAUAUAUUAACAAAUUUAUAUAUAUGAUGCUACAUAAUAAUCGUUUAAAAUAAAUCAUGAACGGUCCAAUAAAACAGAUCUACGUGGCAAUAUAUAUUAAAUAUUAUAAAAAAUUUUAAAAUAUAUUAAUAAAUUUUUCAUAAAGUUAAAAGAUUAAUUAAUAAUUUUUUUUAAAUUAUAAAAAUUAAACAAUAAAAUAUUUAACGACUAACAUUAAUAUAAAUAAAAACUAGCAAACUUUUUGAUUUUUUAAAAUCGAAUGAUAAAUUAAUAAGUUCUCUCUAAUAUAUAAACUAAAUAAUAAUUUUUCUUUUAAAAUAUAAUUAAGCUAUACAAAAAUUAGUUAUAAAUUAAAUGAAACUCAAUUAAAUAAACAGAUAAUGACAAUUUUAAAUGGAUCAAUAUAUAACAAAUUAAUUUAUUAAUUCACUUAAAUAAAUAGAUCAUUGCAUAUCUAAUCAAAUUAAACGAGUCAAUCUAAUUAGACCUAUAAUUUAAUGUGUCAUAAAUAAAUUGCUAACUCUGCUAAUAUUUGAUUAGAUAACUCAACUAAUAUUUUGAAGGUAUAGCAUAUCAUAAAAAAGAAAUUUAUUUUUUUGUUACCAUAUAGUAUAAUUAAUAGAUUUAUCUUUUUAUUUUUAUAAUUCAACACUUUAAUUUUAAAAGUUUAAUUAUGUCAAAAUUUAAAAUCUCCUCGUAAAAAAUACUUUUAGUAAAAGGACAAUUGACCGAACUAUCUUUUUAAAAUUAACUCUUUUAGUUCUUAAAAUUUAAUUCCAUAAAAUAAGAGGUAUCUCUCUUAAAUAAUCAAACAAAUAACAUCAAAGCAACAAAAUCCAUUCACACGUCAAAGUAACAAAUUGAAAAUCUUAAACUCAAUCUUCAUAAAUAAAAAAAUUUCAAUAAAUUCAAGAUUCAAAUAAAACAAAUCUAAUAAAAUCAAAAUUAUCAAAAAUUAAAAUUGCCACGGCUCACUGUUGCCCAUCGCUUGCAUUUCCCAUUGAUCUUUGUUAUUUACUACUCGCAUCUCAUCUCACUAUUGCAUGCAGCUUGGUCUCUAGCUAUUACACGCUAUUGCUCAUCAUCUCACGCUGUUAGUCGUCGGUCUUUGCUCGAUGCUAGACAACGAUGCUGGUUGUCGAUCGCUACUCACUAUUUGCCAUGGUCAUUUGCUCCUCUAUCUCUAUUAAGUAGGCUUGAAUAAUGAAUAUAAUUUAGGAAUUUGAAGAGGAUGGAGAUGAUUUAGGGAUUUAAAGAGGAAUGAAGAGAAUUUGAAAAUUUGAAGGUGUAGAAGUAAUUUUUAUCAUUGGUAAGGGUAUUUUUGAAAAUAUUUUUAAAAUUUUCUUCCUUAACCAAUCUUAGAUCAUUGACUUAACAGAAUUAUUGGAAAUAUGCAAUUAUGAUGAAUUAAACUAUGAAAACAAAAUCGUCUGAUUUUAAAAAUAGAGAAACAAAUCUAUUAAUUAUAUUAUGCCUCACAGAUGAAAAAUUAAUUUUUACUAAAGAAAAAGAUUCUAUGGUGUAUAUCUACAUUAAGGUUACACAAUAUAUUAUAAGAUACACUCGCAUCCCGAAUCUGAUUAAAAAUUAAUCUAAACUAUUCGAAUCCAUUACAAACUCAAUUAUUAAUACCCGAAUAAAAUUCAAAUUCUUUUAGGUUUAUAUAUUUUUAAUUAAUAAUUUAUAUAAAAAUAUUUUCCAUCAAUAAUUUUUAUUUAAAAAAUUCAAUAUUUUUUUAAAAAUAUUUAAAUUUUAAUUUUUAAAUAAAAAGUUAUAAAUAUUAUUAUAAAAUAUAUUUUUAUAUUAAAUUAAUUAUUUAUAUAAACAGAUUUGAAUAGUGAGUAUUUAUAAAUAAAAUCGGAAUCCAAUUAUAACAAUGGGUAUUAUUUUUCAAAUCUCAAACCCAAUUAUAACUACUCAAAUCCACUCUAUUAAAAUUUAGUCGGAUCUAAUACCCGUAAAUACCGAAUCAUCUUCGCCAUCUCUAAUUGUAUUCCAUAAUGAGUAUCUGCAUUAAAGUAACACCUCUAAUUUAUAUUGUAUAUCACUUAUAUAGCAUAUAAUCUAUUUAUAAUUCAGCACAAGCAUAAGCAACUCUAUCACAAACAUCCCAAAAAUGAAAAUUCCAAGAGAUAACAGAUAAGCUAGAGAAAAAAGAGAACCUUUUUAACCAAAAGUUAAAAGACCAAAAUGUGCUCAAAAUGUCUAAUUCAAAUUGCACUGUUCAUUUACAAGAAAAUAUCUCAACAAUUUUAAUUAUAUAUAUAUAUUAUGUAUUAUAAACAUGUAUUAUGUGUUAUGAUGUGUUUUAAAUAUGUAUUAUUUAUAAUUACUUUUUAUUGAAAAAAAAAAUAUUUUAAAUGAUAAAAGUUGAUAACUUCCUCAAUCAAUUAUUCAAAUAUAAAAAUUCAUUUAAUUCAUAACUUAAUAACUAAGAUUUAAAUGGAAUAGGUGAAUCUUUUCUCUUUUAAUUAGAAAUCUCGAAUUUACACUUUUAUUAUGAAAUAUUUUUAUUAAUUUACAUUAUAUAUUCGGAGAGAAGCUAAUAUGGUAUUUGGUAGAUUUUUUCAUUUACUAUUUAAUUAAAUAAUUUAUUUUAUAUAAAAAAAUUUAAAUGAAUUAUUAUAAAAUUAUGUAGGGUUUUAUGUCUUUUUUUUUCAAUUUAAAAAAAUUGAUUUUUUCUUUCUUUUUUUUUAAAAUUAUUAUAAAAAUUAAUUGAAUUAUUCUGAAAUUAUUGAUUUCAGAAUAAAGGGUCUUUCAUAUUCUAAAGCAUUGUUUGGUACAAACAAAUAUCCUUUGUUUGGCUUACAUUUUCAAGUUAACUUGGAAACAUAAAUUAUUUAAGUAUGACUCAGUAAAUUACACUUUUCUAAUUAAAUUCUAUAAAUUUUAUCGAUUUAUUCUUUAAUUUAUUAUAAUUCAAAUUAUAAUACCAACAUUAUUAUUUUUUAUAAUUCAUAAAUAAUUUUAUAUUUUAAAAAGUUUAUUUAUAUAUAUUUUUUAAUAAAUUUUUUAAAAAUAUAUUUUUUGAGAAAUAUAUCUUCUAAAACGAAAAGUAUUUCGAAUCAAAUAAAAUUUAAGUUUAGAUGUAUUAGAUGUUCGCUAAUUUGAUAUGCUAAGUUUUUUUUUUUGUCUUAAUUAGAUUUAUAAUAAAUUUUAUUAAAAAAAUAUUAAUUAAAGUCAUCAAAAUUAUCAUCAAAACUAAAAUGGAUUAUCCACCAAAACGUGAAAGAUAAUUUAUUUUUUAUUCCACCCUUAUCCUUCUCUUAGUAUCACAAACUAAAAAAAAAAUCACAACUAAUGUUGAUUAGGCAGAAGAAAAAGAAAAUGUCUAAAACGAAGAAUCCAAAGUGGAAUCCACAUAGGCAUAUGCAUAGUUAGAAUCAACCAAGGCCAAGAGGCAUGAGCCAUAUUGGGUUAUAACAUGCCACGUCAGCAUCCACGUCUUUGAGUAGUGGGAAUAGGGACGGACUCGUCAUUUUGAAACACCUACCACUCUUUUAUAAGCAGAGUGCGAAUUUGAUAUUGCUGAAAAAAUUUCUUUUCUUUUAUUUCACUGCCAACAACUUCUCUAUAGGGGCUUAGGUCUCUCACAGAGUGGCUUUUUAACACUUCCAUUUUCCUCUGCUUUUUUGCUCUAAGGUUACCAGAGAGGUUUCUCCCACAACGGUUCUCAGGUGGGUAAAGGUGGUUUUUCGUAAUGGUACUUGUUAUUUCUCUUACUGUUGUCUAUUCAUUGCAUGAUUUUGGGUUAUGGAAUAUGGAUCUACUGUGUAUUUUUUUCCUUGUUGAUUUUGUUUUUAGCAAUUGUUGGGCUUCUUUUCCUCAGAUCUAUUUGAUUUUUAAGGAAGUGUUUACUCUUAGUUAAUGGGUUUAUUUAUUAUACUCUUUAUUAAUGGGAAAUACGUUUGUUUUCAGUUUAGAUCGUUUGUUCUCCUGGCGAUUUCGAAAACUAUCCCCUCUUACUGGAGUCUCCAGUCAUUUUUUUUAAGAAAUAUUUUGUGGCAGUUUAACUUGUUUUCGCUUUGGGCAUUUUGCUUUUGAGCUUUCGUGUGCGUUUUAUUAUUAUUAUUUUUAUAAUUUCAAGCAAAUAUUUUUAAUUGUUGAUUUUUUUUUGUAACCGCACAUUAUGAAGCACAAUGCCUUCUUGUAAAUUUGUUGCAUAUUUUGCUGCUAAAAUUAGGGUUUUUUCUUUGUUAAAAGUUUUUGUUGUGAUGAUUAAAUGAAUUGUUUUAGGGUUUUUGUUUCUGAAAAAACUUUUGGAGCAAGAGCUGAACAAACUUGGGUGUAUACUUAGUUCAUAAGGACAUUCUUUUUCAUUGGCUUCUUUUGAGCCAGUUUUAAACACUAUUUUCCUGUUGUUGGUACUGGAAAUGGAUCAACCAUGUUUGUAUUGUUUGAUGGAGUGAAAAGGAGUGGUUUCAUCAAUAGCUUCAUAUCUCUCGUCUAAUUUGUGCGCAGCUAUCAUUAUGGUGAGAAAGAGGAGAACUGAGCUUCCUCCAAGUGGGGGUGAGAGCUCCGAGUCUCAUGAAGCUGCUGGGGGUAGUGGUCGUGGUUUCCAGCGACCAUCUGAGAGGAGCGCUCCACCUCAGCAGGGAGCAGGUGGAGCAUACCAAGGUGGAAGGUGGGGUCCCCAGUCUCAGCAAGGAGGACGUGGUGGUGGUUAUGGUGGGGGCCGUGGCCGUGGUGGGAUGCCCCAACAGCAGCAGUAUGGUGCCCCCCCUGAACAUCAAGGAAGGGGAAGAGGAGGGCCUCCUCAGCAAGGAGGCCGGGGAGGCUAUGGUGGUGGUCGUAGCGGUGGUGGUGGCCGUGGAGGAGGUUCUCCUUCUGGUGGCCCAUCUAGACCACCAGUUCCCGAGCUGCACCAAGCAACCCUGGCUCCAUAUCCAGCUGGGGUGUCCCCUCAGCCCAUGUCUUCUGAGGGGAGCUCUUCAUUCCGUCCUCCAGAGCCAAUACCAGCAGUAAUACAACAGCAGAUGCAGGAGCUUUCUAUCCAGCAAGAAAUGGAAAGUCAGGCAAUUCAGGCUUCACCUCCACCCUCAAGUAAAUCAAUGAGGUUCCCCCUCAGGCCGGGGAAGGGUAGCACUGGCAUAAAGUGUAUAGUAAAGGCUAACCACUUCUUUGCUGAAUUACCAGAUAAAGAUUUGCACCAGUAUGAUGUGAGUUCACUUAUCUGUAGUUUGCAUAGCAGCCUAUGUAAUUUGUGUUAGUUUUAAGGCAUAAAGUUAUUUGGUUUUUUGAUGUGGAUAGGUUACCAUCACACCAGAGGUCACAUCACGAGGUGUAAACCGCGCCGUAAUGGAACAACUUGUUAAACUGUACAAAGAAUCUCACCUUGGAAAGCGUCUUCCUGCCUAUGAUGGCCGAAAGAGUCUAUACACUGCUGGGCCACUUCCAUUUAUCUCAAAGGAAUUUAAGAUCACUCUCAUUGAUGAAGAUGAUGGAUCAGGCGGGCAAAGGUUUGUAUGAUUUUUGGGUUCUACAUUUGCUUUUUCUUUUCAUGUGUUGUUUCCCUUGUUAAGUAAUUAAUUAUCUUUAUUUCAUGUUGCAGGAGGGAGAGGGAGUUCAGAGUUGUAAUCAAAUUAGCUGCACGGGCUGACCUACACCAUUUAGGGCUCUUUUUGCAGGGAAGGCAAGCAGAUGCACCACAGGAAGCUCUUCAAGUUCUUGACAUUGUUUUGCGUGAAUUACCUACCACUCGGUGUGGCUUCUGUUUCUUAUUUUCAGUAUUUGAUUAUGUCUUCCCUUCUGUGUCUGGAGACUGAUCUUAUCAACUGUAGGUACUGCCCUGUGGGUCGAUCAUUUUAUUCCCCUGAUCUAGGAAGAAGGCAACCCCUUGGUGAGGGUUUAGAAAGUUGGCGUGGUUUUUACCAAAGCAUUCGCCCUACACAAAUGGGACUGUCACUUAAUAUUGGUAUGUGAAUUUUGGCUGUCUUUCCCUUGAUAUUUGUUUUGUUUAUCUAUUUAUUUUCAGUUAGUUCAAGUUUUAGGUCCAUCAUUAUUGCAUAUGCACAACUUAUUCUGCUAUGCUUCCUUUAAAAUUGUUAUGUUCUGUUUUCAUCAAAUUUCAUGUUUUGCUUUGAUCUGUUGGGCUGCAGAUAUGUCUUCUACUGCUUUCAUUGAGCCACUGCCAGUAAUUGACUUUGUAAACCAACUAUUGAAUCGAGAUGUGUCCUCUAGACCUUUGUCUGAUGCUGACCGUGUGAAGGUAAGAUCGGUUUAUUUUUAUUUUAUUUUUUUUUUGGGUCAUGGUUAUUAGUUUUAUUUUGUUCACCACGACAUUACUUUUCUUAAAGUCAUCAGAUCAUUCUUCAAGAUACACAUUCAUAUAUUACUUUGCAAAACUGUUAUUGUCUGAUGGAACUAUCUAUUUUCAUGAUUGAUUUUACUUUUUGCGCAUAGAGGUUUGCUUAAGAUAAUUUAUAUAAUUAUGAGCACUUUAACUUAUGUCUCAAUAGAUAAAAAAAGCUCUUAGAGGAGUCAAGGUUGAAGUUACACACCGAGGAAAUAUGCGUAGGAAGUACCGUAUAUCUGGUUUAACAUCGCAGGCGACUCGAGAAUUGACGUGAGUAUCCUUUGAUGUCAUGUAUUUUUAUUUUCAAUUGUUUACUAGUUGUAGUUUGUGGCUUUAUGAUUGAUUCCUCUUUUAUUCCUUUUGCAUCAGUUUUCCGGUUGAUGACAGAGGAACUGUGAAGUCUGUGGUAGAAUACUUCUACGAGACAUAUGGAUUUGUAAUUCAACACACUCAAUGGCCCUGCUUACAAGUGGGAAAUCAGCAGAGGCCUAAUUAUUUGCCAAUGGAAGUAAGUAUUUGUCCCUAUGUUUCACACUGUUGCUUGGAUAUAUUGGUGUUACACGCUACCUUUUGAAAACAGGUAUGCAAGAUUGUGGAGGGUCAGAGGUAUUCCAAGAGACUGAAUGAGAGGCAGAUAACUGCUUUGCUAAAGGUGACCUGUCAGCGUCCUCAUGAAAGGGAGCUUGAUAUCAUGCAGGUAUGCUGCUGUGGCAGAAAUUGCUUUCUGUGUUGGUUACAGGCUUUUCCAGCAUUCAGUCAGUGGCAUUAAUUUGAGUGUCAUUGUGUUUGGAAUAUUUGUGAUACUUGGAUUCCCAUUCUUUCUUUUAAAGUAUAUUUUUGGAGCAACAUGAUCAUUGGUUGAGAUCAUAUGGCGCCAUUCAAGUGGACUUCGCACCCUUGCAUCAAAAGAUUAUGUAGCUAUACUUUAUUUUGGUCAUUCUAUUCAAAGUCAUUAUUUGUUUAUGAAAUUCAUGAUUAUUCUGGUAGGCAUGUCCUGGAACUUUCAAUGAAAUUAAUUUUUGCUUGUGUAGACUGUUCAUCAUAAUGCUUAUCACAAUGAUCCUUAUGCAAAGGAGUUUGGAAUUAAAAUUAGUGAGAAGCUUGCUUCAGUUGAAGCUCGCAUUUUGCCACCUCCAAGGGUAAAUGUUGAUUCCAUCUUCUUAAUAUGCAUAUAUUGUGUGCUGUUUCCUAUUUCAAUAGUUUAGUAAGUGUGUUGUCAUUUUCGACUGUUUAUGGCCAGCUUAAAUAUCAUGACACUGGUAGAGAGAGGGAUUGCCUGCCUCAAGUUGGACAGUGGAACAUGAUGAAUAAGGUAUUUCCUGCUAUAAAAUUAUAAUAAUUGCAUUUUGUUUUACAUUUCAUAGUUAUUAAAUCAACAUUCUCUUUCUUCUGACACUAUAAUAUGGCAUUUGUCUAAUUGUGUUUCCAAUUUGUGUCUCUCUUUCUUGACAUUGUUUGUAGAAAAUGUUCCUCUUAAUAUGUCUUUUGGUCCUGUUAAGCAAACUAUAUUCAGUAAUGAAGUCUAUUAUUUGGGUUGUUCACUUGUUGUUCGCAUUUAGUUUUUCUCUCUCGGUUAUAAUAGUUCUCUUCAUUUGAGUUUAGAUAACAUGCAUGUGGGAUCUCAAAUGCAUAGCCAUAGAAUAAUAUUAAGAUGGCCCUGUGGCACAUAUACAAUUGAUUUUAAGGUUACUGUCUAGUAUACUCCCUCCGUCCCAUAAUUUUUGUCCAUUUUGCUUUUUCACAUGUUAAGAAAUAUAAUUUUUUUUAUUAACUUAUCAAUUAUACCCAUCUUAAAUACAUUAAGUUUUAUUAAAUAUUAAGAGAUGUUUUGAGAGGUUUCUUGGAAAUUAGACAAAAUUAAAUAGGUUUAUAAUAGUUAAUUUAUAUGUUAGUAUAGUCUAAAAAAGUAAAGUGGACAAUAAUUUUGUGACAACAAAAAAAGAAAAGAUAGGACAAAAAUUAUGGGGAGUAAUAAGUUGUGGAGAUUGAUGCGUUUAAAUAGGUAGAAAAAUAGUCUAUGGCUUUAAGUGGGAUUGAAGAGUAAUUUAAUUAUGAAGGUUACUGUCUAGAUAAAUAAUAAGUUGUGGAGAUUGAUAUAUUUAAAUAGGUAGAAAAAUAGUUAAUGGCUUUAAGUGGGAUUGAAGAGUAAUUUAAUUAUGAAGAAUAGAAUCUUGCCCCCUUAGGCCCUUACAGUGGGCAGAGCGCAAUAGCUGCUUAAAAACUUAAAACCACUAGCUAAUUUUGUUUAGACUUUGUAAUCUUAAAUAGAUCCAUAUGGUUUUCAUUUGAGUUCAGAUAACAUGCAUGUGGGAUCUCAAAUGCAUAGCCAUAGAUAAAUAUUAAGAGGGCCCUGUGGCACAUAUAUAAUUGAUUUUAAGGUUACCAUCUAGAUAAUAAUAAUAAGUUGUGGAGAUUGGUGCAUUUAAAUAGGUAGAAAAAUAGUUUAUGGCUUUAAGGGAUAGAAGAGUAACUUAAUAAUGAAGAAUAACAUCUUGCCCCCUUAGGCCCUUACAAUGGGCAGAGCGCAAUAGCUGCUUAAAAACUUAAAACCACUAGCUAAUUUUGUUUAGACUUUGUGAUCUUAAAUAGAUGCAUAUGGUCUUCUUUUACUACUUUGAAAGAAUACCAUCAUUCCAUUAAGAUGCUGUAAAAAAAAACCAUUUGCACUACUGCUUUCCAUGUUAGCAAAAGCUAAAACCUUAAAAAUUAACAUUGAUGUAGAUAAACAAUGCAAGAUUUUAACUCCAUGGAUAUAAGAAAAGGAUGAAUCAUAUAUUAAGGAAAGGUUAGAGGGAAUAUGUGGGUCAGGAUGUUUGACCUUAUUCUAGAGAGCACAAGGAAGAAUGCCUCUUUUUUAUUUUUAUUUUUAUAAAGGUAUAAGGUAGGUAGGAGUUAUUGCUUAUGAAGGUUAUUGCAUUUUUGGGUGUCAACCCCUUCUCUGAACAUGCAAAAUCAGGAUGCUCUAUGUUUUGAUUUAUUGUCAUUUUUCUGCAGAAAAUGGUUAAUGGAGGAACAGUGAACAAUUGGAUAUGUGUAAAUUUUUCUCGGAAUGUUCAAGACAGUGUAGCCCGUGGAUUUUGUUAUGAACUUGCGCAAAUGUGUCACAUAUCAGGCAUGGUAUGGAACUUGCAUGAUAUCUUUAGGUCUCUGUUUCCAGUAUUUUGUUGGAUGUAAUCUGUUGUUUCUCUCUAAACUUUGGAUUGCUUCUUGUAUUAAGGCUUUUAAUCCUGAGCCGGUACUUCCUCCAAUCAGUGGUCGUCCAGAGCAGGUAGAGAAGGUCUUGAAAACUCGUUAUCAUGAUGCCAUGACAAAACUUCAGCCCCAGGGCAAGGAACUUGACCUGCUUAUUGUAAUUCUCCCUGAUAAUAAUGGUUCCCUUUAUGGUAAGGAGUUGACACAGUAGAUUCAGUGUUGAUUUCAUUCAUCUAAUCUUCUGUAGAUAAACGAUAUCUGCUGGUCAUCACAAUUCCUAUGUGUUACUUGCUGCAGGUGAUUUGAAACGGAUAUGUGAGACAGAUCUUGGCCUUGUUUCUCAGUGUUGUUUAACAAAGCAUGUAUUCAGAAUGAGUAAGCAGUAUUUGGCCAAUGUGGCUUUGAAGAUAAAUGUGAAGGUUGGAGGAAGAAAUACUGUACUUGUUGAUGCAAUAUCAAGGCGCAUUCCUUUAGUCAGCGACCGGCCCACUAUUAUUUUUGGUGCUGAUGUUACCCAUCCUCAUCCUGGGGAAGACUCAAGCCCAUCUAUUGCAGCUGUAUUCUAUCUUUCUCCACUCUUCUGAAUGCCUCUUAUCUUGUAUUCACUGAAUUUGAUCUUGCCUUUUGCAAUUUGAACUGACAAAAGGUUUUUGAAAUUGAAAUGCAGGUUGUGGCUUCUCAGGAUUGGCCUGAGAUUACAAAGUAUGCUGGUUUGGUUUGUGCUCAAGCCCAUCGACAAGAGCUUAUCCAAGAUCUGUUCAAAGAAUGGCAGGAUCCUGUAAGAGGGAAAGCCACUGGUGGAAUGAUCAAGUAUGUUUGGCUAUCUCUCUGUCAUAUUUGUCAUAGGAUCAAGUGCCUCUAUUGGUCUCAAGUGCUCUAGGGCCUGUGCAUAUGCUGCUUCCUAGGGUCUUGAGGGAUUUUAUAGUUUACUUUAGUUUGUUUUACUUGCUUUGCCUAUGCUUUUUGCUAUAGUGAUUUUGUUUUUACUUUGGUUGAUACCAUAUAUGACGAUUAAGGCUCCAUUUGUUUGCCGAAAUAACUUAUAUUGAAAAAUGUUUUCCAUGAAAAAUAUUUUCCAACAAAAUAACUUAUUUUUCAUUGUUUAAAUUUAAUUUAAAAAUAAAAUAUAUUAACAAAAUUUUAUACACAGG